CCCUAUUCAGCGGCAGGCAUUCGAUUAAGUCUGCUGUCUGUUCUCUGCCAACUGGUUGGUAUGUUUAAUAUGUUAUUGCAUAAUACAGUAGAUUUUAUUUUGGUGAAACUACAUGAAUUCGUAUUUUUCCUUGUUUUGAGCUUUAUGGGAAUUUGGAUGGACUCACCAAGGGACAUUUAGCAAUUGUAAGUGUAAAUUUAUUUAAUGCAGCUUUGUUCUGAUUUUGCUGCAAAACUGCUGGGGAAACAUCGCUUUAUCUACAGGUACAAGAUGGCACGUUGCAUGUAUUAG